GCGUGGGUGGUGUAGUGGUAACAUAGGUCGUUGCCAUCCAGCCGAUCUGCUCAAGAGCGUCGAACUCGAUUCGACCUGCCCGGGGUUCGAUUCCCUGUCCACGCA
rnacentral:tRNA from 1 species